AUGAACGCUGGCGGCGUGCCUAAUACAUGCAAGUAGAACGCUGAAGGAAGGAGCUUGCUCUUUCCGGAUGAGUUGCGAACGGGUGAGUAACGCGUAGGUAACCUGCCUGGUAGCGGGGGAUAACUAUUGGAAACGAUAGCUAAUACCGCAUAACAGUAGAUGUUGCAUGAUAUCUACUUAAAAGGUGCAAUUGCACCACUACCAGAUGGACCUGCGUUGUAUUAGCUAGUUGGUGAGGUAACGGCCCACCAAGGCGACGAUACAUAGCCGACCUGAGAGGGUGAUCGGCCACACUGGGACUGAGACACGGCCCAGACUCCUACGGGAGGCAGCAGUAGGGAAUCUUCGGCAAUGGACGGAAGUCUGACCGAGCAACGCCGCGUGAGUGAAGAAGGUUUUCGGAUCGUAAAGCUCUGUUGUAAGAGAAGAACGAGUGUGAGAGUGGAAAGUUCACACUGUGACGGUAUCUUACCAGAAAGGGACGGCUAACUACGUG
rnacentral:rRNA from 1 species